rnacentral:rRNA from 1 species
AUACGGAGGGGGUUAGCGUUGUUCGGAAUUACGGGGCGUAAAGCGUACGUAGGCGGAUCAGAAAGUAUGGGGUGAAAUCCCAGGGCUCAACCCUGGAACUGCCUCAUAAACUCCUGGUCUUGAGUUCGAGAGAGGUGAGUGGAAUUCCGAGUGUAGAGGUGAAAUUCGUAGAUAUUCGGAGGAACACCAGUGGCGAAGGCGGCUCACUGGCUCGAUACUGACGCUGAGGUACGAAAGUGUGGGGAGCAAACAGGAUUAGAAACCCGAGCAGUCC